CGGGACACGUGGUAUCCUGUCUGAAUAUGGGGGGACCAUCCUCCAAGGCUAAAUACUCCUGACUGACCGAUAGUGAACCAGUACCGUGAGGGAAAGGCGAAAAGAACCCCGGCGAGGGGAGUGAAAAAGAACCUGAAACCGUGUACGUACAAGCAGUGGGAGCCUCUUUAUGGGGUGACUGCGUACCUUUUGUAUAAUGGGUCAGCGACUUAUAUUCUGUAGCAAGGUUAACCGAAUAGGGGAGCCGAAGGGAAACCGAGUCUUAACUGGGCGUUAAGUUGCAGGGUAUAGACCCGAAACCCGGUGAUCUAGCCAUGGGCAGGUUGAAGGUUGGGUAACACUAACUGGAGGACCGAACCGACUAAUGUUGAAAAAUUAGCGGAUGACUUGUGGCUGGGGGUGAAAGGCCAAUCAAACCGGGAGAUAGCUGGUUCUCCCCGAAAGCUAUUUAGGUAGCGCCUCGUGAAUUCAUCUCCGGGGGUAGAGCACUGUUUCGGCAAGGGGGUCAUCCCGACUUACCAACCCGAUGCAAACUGCGAAUACCGGAGAAUGUUAUCACGGGAGACACACGGCGGGUGCUAACGUCCGUCGUGAAGAGGGAAACAACCCAGACCGCCAGCUAAGGUCCCAAAGUCAUGGUUAAGUGGGAAACGAUGUGGGAAGGCCCAGACAGCCAGGAUGUUGGCUUAGAAGCAGCCAUCAUUUAAAGAAAGCGUAAUAGCUCACUGGUCGAGUCGGCCUGCGCGGAAGAUGUAACGGGGCUAAACCAUGCACCGAAGCUGCGGCAGCGACACUAUGUGUUGUUGGGUAGGGGAGCGUUCUGUAAGCCUGUGAAGGUGGCCUGUGAGGGUUGCUGGAGGUAUCAGAAGUGCGAAUGCUGACAUAAGUAACGAUAAAGCGGGUGAAAAGCCCGCUCGCCGGAAGACCAAGGGUUCCUGUCCAACGUUAAUCGGGGCAGGGUGAGUCGACCCCUAAGGCGAGGCCGAAAGGCGUAGUCGAUGGGAAACAGGUUAAUAUUCCUGUACUUGGUGUUACUGCGAAGGGGGGACGGAGAAGGCUAUGUUGGCCGGGCGACGGUUGUCCCGGUUUAAGCGUGUAGGCUGGUUUUCCAGGCAAAUCCGGAAAAUCAAGGCUGAGGCGUGAUGACGAGGCACUACGGUGCUGAAGCAACAAAUGCCCUGCUUCCAGGAAAAGCCUCUAAGCAUCAGGUAACAUCAAAUCGUACCCCAAACCGACACAGGUGGUCAGGUAGAGAAUACCAAGGCGCUUGAGAGAACUCGGGUGAAGGAACUAGGCAAAAUGGUGCCGUAACUUCGGGAGAAGG
rnacentral:rRNA from 1 species